GUAACACGUGGGCAACCUGCCCCUAGCUCUGGGACAACUCCGGGAAACCGGGGCUAAUACCGGAUAUGACAUCUGGCGGCAUCGUCGGGUGUGGAAAGUUCUUCGGCUAGGGAUGGGCCCGCGGCCUAUCAGCUUGUUGGUGGGGAGAUGGCCUACCAAGGCGACGACGGGUAGCCGGUCUGAGAGGGCGACCGGCCACACUGGGACUGAGACACGGCCCAUACUCCUACGGGAGGCAGCAGUGGGGAAUAUUGCGCAAUGGUGGAAGCCUGACGCAGCGACGCCGCGUGGGGGAUGAAGGCCUUCGGGUUGUAAACCUCUUUCAGCAGGGACGAAUUCAGACGGUACCUGCAGAAGAAGCACCGGCCAACUACGUGCCAGCAGCCGCGGUAAUACGUAGGGUGCAAGCGUUGUCCGGAAUUAUUGGGCGUAAAGAGCUCGUAGGCGGUCUGUCGCGUCGGCUGUGAAAACUUGGGGCUCAACCCCAAGCCUGCAGCCGAUACGGGCAGACUAGAGUGCGGUAGGGGAGACUGGAAUUCCUGGUGUAGCGGUGAAAUGCGCAGAUAUCAGGAGGAACACCGGUGGCGAAGGCGGGUCUCUGGGCCGUAACUGACGCUGAGGAGCGAAAGCGUGGGGAGCGAACAGGAUUAGAUACCCUGGUAGUCCACGCCGUAAACGGUGGGUGCUAGGUGUAGGCGGUAUUCCACGCCGUCUGUGCCGCAGCUAACGCAUUAAGCACCCCGCCUGGGGAGUACGGCCGCAAGGCUAAAACUCAAAGGAAUUGACGGGGGCCCGCACAAGCAGCGGAGCAUGUGGCUUAAUUCGACGCAACGCGAAGAACCUUACCAAGGCUUGACAUGCAGGGAAAUCCUCCAGAGAUGGGGGGUCCGCAAGGGUCCUGCACAGGUGGUGCAUGGUUGUCGUCAGCUCGUGUCGUGAGAUGUUGGGUUAAUUUCCGCGAGCGAGGCAAACCUCCUUGUAUGUUUCCAACCGUUCGGUCGGGGACUCAUAGGAGACUGCCGGGGUCAACUCGGAGGAAGGUGGGGAUGACGUCAAAUCAUCAUGCCCCUUAUGUUUUGGGCUGCACACAUGUUACAAUGGUCGGUACAAA
rnacentral:rRNA from 1 species